rnacentral:rRNA from 1 species
UACGAAGGGGGCUAGCGUUGUUCGGAAUUACUGGGCGUAAAGCGCACGUAGGCAGGUCGUUAAGUCAGGGGUGAAAUCCCGGAGCUCAACUCCGGAACUGCCUUUGAUACUGGCGAUCUUGAGAUCGGAAGAGGUGAGUGGAAUUCCCAGUGUAGAGGUGAAAUUCGUAGAUAUUGGGAAGAACACCAGUGGCGAAGGCGGCUCACUGGUCCGAUACUGACGCUGAGGUGCGAAAGCGUGGGGAGCAAACAGG